GUUAAGGUUGGGUCGACGGUCACCAGCUCACCUCUGUCCCCAAACUCAUCCCUGUAGGAAAGCAGCUGUCUUUGCCUAAUGUAGUGCGCUUCUGCAUCAGUCAGAGGUCCAUGGCUGAUUCGGGCCGAAUGAACAACCCCAAAAAAUGGCAAGAGAACCAACAAUGAGAGUAGAAAUAGGACAGGAUUGAGGUGAAACAAAGUUUCUUUCUUCAUCUCACAUGAGACAUCUGAGGCUGAAGAAAGAAAAUUGUCUAGUGUUUUUUGAGGAGCCUCACUUCACAGCUAUUUUGGUACUGUUAUCUUCUUCAAAUGUGAGAUGGUGGAGCUAAGAAGAGAUCAAGGAGAGGGGAAGAAAAUGGCGUUGAGGGAUUCGGGGUUUUGGAGAUUUUUGUGGGUGGUGGCAACUGGUAAUGGUGGUGGUGGUGCUGCUUGAGAAGAGAGAGAAAUAAAGGGGGAGACGGUGGAAUGGAAGGGCGUUUUCUAGGGAUUAUUAGUGUGAGUUUGUGUCUGUGAGAAUGUGAGGGGAUAGAAUGAGUGAGGAGAGAGAGAGAGAAAUAAGCACCCAAAAAAAAAAAAAAAAGAAAGAAAAAAUUACAGC
rnacentral:lncRNA from 1 species